rnacentral:rRNA from 1 species
GCUUUCCCUCCAGAGUGGAUCCUGAGUACGGCGGAACACGUGAAAUUCCGUCGGAAUCCGGGAGGACCAUCUCCCAAGGCUAAAUACUCCCUAGUGACCGAUAGUGAACCAGUACCGUGAGGGAAAGGUGAAAAGCACCCCGGAAGGGGAGUGAAACAGUUCCUGAAACCGUGUGCCUACAAGUAGUUAGAGCCCGUUAAUGGGUGAUAGCGUGCCUUUUGUAGAAUGAACCGGCGAGUUACGAUUUGUUGCAAGGUUAAGCGGAAAAAGCGGAGCCGUAGCGAAAGCGAGUCUGAAUAGGGCGCAUAAGUAACAGGUCGUAGACCCGAAACCAGGUGAUCUACCCAUGUCCAGGAUGAAGGUAAGGUAAUACUUACUGGAGGUCCGAACCCACGCACGUUGAAAAGUGCGGGGAUGAGGUGUGGGUAGCGGAGAAAUUCCAAUCGAACUUGGAGAUAGCUGGUUCUCUCCGAAAUAGCUUUAGGGCUAGCCUCGAGGUAAAGAGUCAUGGAGGUAGAGCACUGUUUGGACUAGGGGCCCUUCUCGGGUUACCGAAUUCAGAUAAACUCCGAAUGCCAUGUACUUAUACUCGGGAGUCAGACUGCGAGUGAUAAGAUCCGUAGUCGAAAGGGAAACAGCCCAGACCACCAGUUAAGGUCCCCAAAUAUAUGUUAAGUGGAAAAGGAUGUGGGGUUGCUUAGACAACCAGGAUGUUGGCUUAGAAGCAGCCACCAUUGAAAGAGUGCGUAAUAGCUCACUGGUCGAGUGACCCCGCGCCGAAAAUGUACCGGGGCUAAACAUAUUACCGAAACUGUGGAUGAACCUCUUUAGAGGUUCGUGGUAGGAGAGCGUUCUAAGGGCGGUGAAGUCAGACCGGAAGGACUGGUGGAGCGCUUAGAAG